AGACAUUUCAUGCCAAAGGUGGUGAUUUCUCCAAGGUUCUUGUUAUAUCCAUAACCUCAAAUGCUUUGGGAUGAAACUCUGCUCAGAGCAAAAAUGGCAGAAUUCAGAAGGAAUUUGUGGAAGUGGAGGUUUUGUUACUGUAAUUGAAGAAAGAGUAAUUCUCCCCAUGUAAUUGAGAAAGAGGCCACACAUCUUUGAAGAAUAUACAAUAUAAGUUCUAACACAUGGAAGCAUUUUCCCUGGGCCAAAAAGGAAAAUAAAAUGCUAUAGAGGACAAAGUUAUUUGUUUUACACUCCAACUCCCUUAUGCAACAUGUUAAGCCACUUACAAUGGGAACAAUGGGCCAGAUUAAUCCUACAGAUUUCAUUUGUUUGGUCAAAGUAGCAUUUAAAACUUUUUCAAUUGGAAAAGAUUCUCAAUGGGCAUACACUUUCCAGUUUACACAUUCUUCAUCUCUGUUU